rfam:Lupinus angustifolius cultivar Tanjil contig_54778, whole genome shotgun sequence.
AAGGCUUCAAAUUUUAUGAGGUUUUGCUUGCACUUAUGUCAUUGUGUUUUGUAACAUUAUUUUGAAGCCAAUAAGUGUGUUCCCCUCGCUAUCCAAUGCUGCAAUAUGUGUGGCAUUAGGACGUUGGGGAACAAAAUUU